rnacentral:tRNA from 1 species
UAAAAUCCGUUGGCUUUAUUGACCGUGAGGGUUCAAAGUCCCUCUACCCCCA